CUGGGCUCUAGCGGGUUGGAGCGGCGGCAGUGGAGGGGACGCGCGGGCUGGCGAACUGACGGGCGGACGGCCCAUGUCGCCCCGCACCUGCUGAACUGGAGCACCCGAGGAUGUCUGCGCUGAGGAAGGCCUUCCCACCAUCCGAGGCCCGGCCGUAGCAGCCCGGUUUCCCAGCAGCUGCCCGUGAACACCCGGCCCGCACCGGCUCCGCCACCAUGGGGACUGCUCAGGUUUUGCCCGGCAUUCUGCAGAAGCAUUGCUGUAUAUUACCAGACAGGAACACAGGAAACCCAUUUCAACUGUUGCUUCAACUCAAACGUCAUUGCUGUUUGGGACUUUGACUUCUCGUCUGUUAAAGAAUUGUUUGGUGCCUUAUUUUGUGCGACUUACUUUCCAAACCCUUGAAUCUGACACGUGCAAUGAGGAGCAGAUGCGGCUGAAGCAGGUGUUACUGAAGACAGUCCUGGGCUCAGCAGCUGAGGCGGACACGCUUCCGGGGAGCUGGCCCCACCCACUCUCACCUCGUCGGCCAGCGGACAAGGUGGCUCGUACACAGCUCUCACACGUCUUGCUGUUUGGAGCUCAGACAUCUCUCUCCAUCAUGGUUUCCCAUCUUGAGAUAAUUGCACCAAGCUGAGAAGUGCCUGGACCAGAGCAGCUCCACUGCGAUAAUUCCACAAAGUCACUUACAGUAAGACAGUUUUCUUAAUUUGUCAUUGCAUUCAUCUCCAUAUCUGGAAACUGAAAAAAUUCGCAACAAUGGCAGAAGACCACAAGAAGUUCUGUUACUGUUUACAUAUUUA